GUUUCAUCGUUUCGCAUGAUUCCCUGACGAGGGCAGCCGUACCAGGAUCGAAAAGACGGCGCAUA
rnacentral:ncRNA from 1 species